AUGGGAAUCAGCAGUAAACAGAAUGCAGGGUUCAUCAAAUGGGUAACAAGAAAAAGGCUACCCCCAAAACCUGCAUUGUUUGCCUUCUAUUUUGAACCUCAUGGACUCAAACUUCAGAUACCAUCUAACGGACCGAAGCAGAGAUCACAUAAAUUUCGGUUAUAUAGCUUUCUGAAGGGAGAUGGAUGGCUUUACUAA
rnacentral:rRNA from 1 species